GAUGAACGCUGGCGGCGUGCCUAAUACAUGCAAGUCGAGCGAACGGACGGGAAGCUUGCUUCUCUGAUGUUAGCGGCGGACGGGUGAGUAACACGUGGAUAACCUACCUAUAAGACUGGGAUAACUUCGGGAAACCGGAGCUAAUACCGGAUAAUAUUUUGAACCGCAUGGUUCAAAAGUGAAAGACGGUCUUGCUGUCACUUAUAGAUGGAUCCGCGCUGCAUUAGCUAGUUGGUAAGGUAACGGCUUACCAAGGCAACGAUGCAUAGCCGACCUGAGAGGGGGAUCGGCCAACUGGGAACUGAGACCCGGCCCAGGCCCCUACGGGGGGCAGCGGUAGGAAAUUUGCCGCAAUGGGCGAAAGCCUGACGGAGCAACGCCGGGGGAGUGAUGAAGGUCUUCGGAUCGUAAAACUCUGUUAUUAGGGAAGAACAUAUGUGUAAGUAACUGUGCACAUCUUGACGGUACCAAAACAGAAAGCCCCGGCUAACUACGU
rnacentral:rRNA from 1 species